rnacentral:rRNA from 1 species
UACGGAGGGUGCGAGCGUUGUCCGGAAUCACUGGGCGUAAAGGGCGCGUAGGCGGCCCUGGCAGUCGGUGGUGAAAGCCCGUGGCUCAACUGCGGUCGCCACCGAUACUCCAGGGCUCGAGUUGGUAGGAGGCAGAUGGAAUUCCGGGUGUAGCGGUGGAAUGCGUAGAGAUCCGGAAGACACCGGUGGCGAAGGCGGUCGACUGGGCAGACGCUGG